UUUUUUUUUUUUUUUUUUUUUUUUUAUCGGUCAGUAGACACACAAAAGCUUUCUCUGGUGGUAUAGCUCGGUCCUUCUGUGUGUGUACUGGCAAGAGCGACAUGGCAGAUUGCACCACUUAUUAAAAUCUCGGUCAUAAAAGUGGUCCGGAUAUAGCUAGGCUAUUGUGACGAUUCAGCCAAGGUGCAGAUAACUCCCCGUGUCACGUGACCGCGCACCGCUAAAAAGUCAUAAGGCACGGCCCGUUGAAUUUUGCUAGCGAAAAUAUGUUUUAUUUAUUUAUUUAUUUUUUUUUAAGGCGAUAAUUUGGUUUUUAAAAAAUUGAAUAGUGGCUAAAAAUACGUUAUUAGCUCACACGUCUAACGUGUUUAUGCGUACGGUAGGCCUGAGAGUGGUGCGAUGUUUUGUAACCAUCGUUGCACUUCCCGUAAUGGUUGAGAUGUUUCUAAACCGUUGUAGGUAUAUAUAUAUAUAUAUAUAUAUACACUACGCCCCUGCAGCCUUUGGCUGCCAACCCGUAGUUACUGUACCCCUUGUUCUCUGGUCUGGAUAUAGAAAGUUGUCUGAACUCCAACCAACUGGUUUCGGCGACCGGAUGGCCGAGUAGUAACGCUGUCGGCAUGCUACACAGAACGACCCGGGUCUGAUAACUCCAGAUC
rnacentral:lncRNA from 1 species